AGAGUUUGAUCCUGGCUCAGGACGAACGCUGGCGGCGUGCCUAAUACAUGCAAGUUGAACGCUUGAUUUUCACCGAAGCUUGCUUCACCGAAAAUCAAGAGUAGCGAACGGGUGAGUAACGCGUGGGUAACCUACCUUUCAGCGGGGGAUAACUAUUGGAAACGAUAGCUAAUACCGCAUAACAAUGUUGGAUGCAUAUUCGACAUUUGAAAGUACCAACUGGUACACUGAGAGAUGGACCCGCGUUGUAUUAGCUAGUUGGUAGUGUAAUGGACUACCAAGGCGAUGAUACAUAGCCGACCUGAGAGGGUGAUCGGCCACAUUGGGACUGAGACACGGCCCAAACUCCUACGGGAGGCAGCAGUAGGGAAUCUUCGGCAAUGGACGAAAGUCUGACCGAGCAACGCCGCGUGAGUGAAGAAGGUUUUCGGAUCGUAAAGCUCUGUUGUAAGUCAAGAACGAGUGUGAGAGUGGAAAGUUCACACAGUGACGGUAGCUUACCAGAAAGGGACGGCUAACUACGUGCCAGCAGCCGCGGUAAUACGUAGGUCCCGAGCGUUGUCCGGAUUUAUUGGGCGUAAAGCGAGCGCAGGUGGUUUAAUAAGUCUGAUGUAAAAGGCAGUGGCUCAACCAUUGUGUGCAUUGGAAACUGUUAGACUUGAGUGCAGUAGAGGAGAGUGGAAUUCCAUGUGUAGCGGUGAAAUGCGUAGAUAUAUGGAGGAACACCGGUGGCGAAAGCGGCUCUCUGGACUGUCACUGACACUGAGGCUCGAAAGCGUGGGUAGCAAACAGGAUUAGAUACCCUGGUAGUCCACGCCGUAAACGAUGAGUGCUAGUUGUUUGGGGCUAUCCAGCCCUAAGUGACGCAGCAAACGCAUUAAGCACUCCGCCUGGGGAGUACGACCGCAAGGUUGAAACUCAAAGGA
rnacentral:rRNA from 1 species